UACGGAAGGCAGCAGUGGGGAAUAUUGCACAAUGGGCGAAAGCCUGAUGCAGCUAUGCCGCGUGUAUGAAGAAGGCCUUAGGGUUGUAAAGUACUUUUCAUCGGGGAGGAAAAAACAAAACUAAUAAUUUUAUUUCUUGACGUUACCCGAAAAAGAAGCACCGGCUAACUCCGUGCCAGCAGCCGCGGUAAUACGGAGGGUGCUAGCGUUAAUCAGAAUUACUGGGCGUAAAGAGCACGUAGGUGGUUUUUUUAAAGUCAGAUGUGAAAUCCCUGGGCUUAACCUAGGAACUGCAUUUUGAAACUGAAAUACUAGAGUAUCGUAGAGGGAGGUAGAAUUCUAGGUGUAGCGGUGAAAUGCGUAGAUAUCUGGAGGAAUACCUGUGGCGAAAGCGGCCUCCUAAACGAAUACUGACACUGAGGUGCGAAAGCGUGGGGAGCGAAACAGGGAUUAGAUACC
rnacentral:rRNA from 1 species